AAACGACUCUCGGCAACGGAUAUCUCGGCUCUCGCAUCGAUGAAGAACGUAGCGAAAUGCGAUACCUGGUGUGAAUUGCAGAAUCCCGUGAACCAUCGAGUCUUUGAACGCAAGUUGCGCCCGACGCCUUCUGGCCGAGGGCACGUCUGCCUGGGUGUCACGC
rnacentral:rRNA from 2 species